rnacentral:rRNA from 1 species
CUACGGGCGGCAGCAGUGAGGAAUAUUGCACAAUGGGGGGAACCCUGAUGCAGCAACGCCGCGUGGAGGAUGACGCAUUUCGGUGUGUAAACUCCUUUUAUAUGUCAAGAAAAUGACGGUAGCAUAUGAAUAAGCACCGGCUAACUCCGUGCCAGCAGCCGCGGUAAUACGGAGGGUGCAAGCGUUACUCGGAAUCACUGGGCGUAAAGGACGCGUAGGCGGGUUGGAAAGUCAGGUGUGAAAUCCUACAGCUUAACUGUAGAACUGCACUGGAAACUUCUAAUCUAGAGUAUGGGAGGGGGAGAUGGAAUUAGUGGUGUAGGGGUAAAAGCCGUAGAUAUCACUAGGAAAACCUAAAGCGAAGGCGAUCUCCUGGAACAUUACUGACGCUAAGGCGUGAAAGCGUGGGGAGCAAACAGGAUUAGAUACCCGAGUAGUC